GUGCUCUCUUUGGCAGCAUAUCUAUUAAAACUGGAAUGAUACAAAGAAGACCAGCAAGACCCCUGUUGCAAAGAUGACAUGCAAAUUCAUGAAGUAAUAUAUAUUUAA